UAGUAAUUUGCUAUGUAAAUUAGAAAAUUCUUAUUGUGAGGUCCCAGAAAAACCUCCACAAAUUAAGUGUAUAAAAGAGAAAAGAAAAUAGGAAAAAUAAGAAAGUUUAGGAAAAGGAAAUGUUUUAAUAAAACGAGAAUUCGAGUAAACAAGGGGAAGAGUCGUUAAGAAGGUCAAGCAGACAUGAAGUUCCGAUGUCCGAGAAGGUGCAAACCCGCACGUAGCACGGCGGCAAUCUUGUUGUUUCCCACUGAUAACAAGAGAAAGUCCACUCCGUCGAAGAAAAUAACAACUUUUAUCUUAAUUUUGUGUCAACACAAAGUUCGGGAGAACAAAGUAAAAUCAACAGAGGACAUUCUAAAACUCCCGAUUGAAUACGCCCGCUAUUGAUAAGACGUCUUU
rnacentral:lncRNA from 1 species